rnacentral:ncRNA from 1 species
AAUUGAAAAUCAGUUUCAGCUUUUAAAACAUUAUCACUUUGGGAGUAGAAUUAAUAUUAAAAAGUAGAUUGUGUGAGAAUCUUAGCUUCUAAAUAAAGUUUAUGAAUACAUAUAUGUAUGUAUCAAAUUCCUUACAUGUGAAUUAUACAUAGAAUAAACUAAUACAAACCAUGGGAAAUGAACGCAUUAUUCAACAGAGGCAAAAGACUGGUCAAUCCAUCUGGUACCUGGUUCUGCCCAGGUUUCCUUCAGGAUAGCUGCUGCUCUUGUAGUCACAUAGUUUUAUGCAGCAUAGUAGGUGACCAGAGGUCUUGGAGAGGGAACUGCCUCAGCCUUCCUCUCAUUCAUUAAAGGAAUGAGAAGCCCAGCUUGCUGAUACAGAGUAGGGCACUGAAUGACAGCGUGUAAUGUUCCACUUUGGCCAGCCCAAGGGAGGGUGCAAGAUGAACAGAAUGUCAUUGCUUUUCAGAUUCCAGGAAAGACUUUAGUUGCCACAGAUAGCAGGGUAGUGGCCAUCAAAGUCAGAAUUUGCUGAGGAGUGUGCAACGCUUCAUCCUGUGGAUGUAGCCAACCCUGAAAGUGGAUGGCACUAAACUGUCAAACUCACACCUGACACUCUAGAGCAGUGAUGGUGAACCUAUGGCACACGCGCUGCAGCCAGCUGUUUGUAUCACUGAAAGCUCUAAAAGCUUUGCCACCCCUACUCCAGGGCUUUAGCAGCCUGGAUCCCUUGCACAGAU